GACGGAGGGUGCUAGCGUUGUUCGGAAUCACUGGGCGUAAAGGGCGCGUAGGCGGCCUUGCAAGUCGGUUGGUGAAAGCCCGGGGCUCAACCCCGGAGGUGCGGCCGAGACUGCAGGGCUGGAGGCCGGAAGAGGAGGGUGGAAUACCCAGUGUGAGAGGUGAAAUUCGUAGAUAUUGGGUGGAACACCGGUGGCGAAAGCGGCUCUCUGGUCCGGACCUGACGCUGAGGCGCGAAAGCGUGGGGAGCAAACAGG
rnacentral:rRNA from 1 species